GAUCCUGGCUACGAGGACGACGCUGGCGGCGUGCCUAACACAUGCAAGUCGAACGAGGUCCAUGCAGUGGCAACACUGCGGAAGACCUAGUGGCGAACGGGUGAGUAACACGUGAGGAACCUGCCCCGAAGACCGGGAUAACCUCUCCGAAAGGAGCGCUAAUACCGGAUGCCCCCACCGAACCGCAUGGUUUGGUGAGGAAAUGGAUUCCGCUUCGGGAGGGCCUCGCGGCCUAUCAGCUAGUUGUGGGGUAACGGCCCACCAAGGCAUCGACGGGUAGCUGGUCUGAGAGGACGAUCAGCCACACUGGGACUGAGACACGGCCCAGACUCCUACGGGAGGCAGCAGUGGGGAAUCUUGCGCAAUGGGCGAAAGCCUGACGCAGCAACGCCGCGUGGGGGAUGAAGGCUUUCGGGUUGUAAACCCCUUUCAGCAGGGACGAAUCAAGACGGUACCUGCAGAAGAAGCCCCGGCUAACUACGUG
rnacentral:rRNA from 1 species